CUUUUCUUUUCUUUUGGGUUCUUUCAGGUUUGAAGAAAAAGAAAAAGAAACAGGGUAAUAGAGAAACAGAGAGAGAGAGAGAGUUCGGGAUGAGUAGGGAGAGAGAGAGGCUGUGAGCUCGGGAAUAUAUGAAGGUAAGAACGUGAGCUCGAGUUGGGGUUAUGGAAGAGAAAGAAGGUUCGGGUUAGAGCUGAUGAUAGAGGAGGCUAUGAUCAUCAAUAGGUCGUUCUAUCUAUGAAGUUAUUACAAGGAUCAUCCCAACCGCUGGGUCAGUCUCUUGACAAAAUCAACUAUUACCUUCACAGCUUCAUGAACUCUGUUCGACAGGGAAUGAUUACCAGUUGUCAGUUACGAUUUGGACCAAAAAUCCUACAUACAGUGGACUUGAGAAUUUGUAUUACACGUAUGUCUUUCAUUCAGGUUAUUUUUUUGGAUCUUUACGCUUACAUGAUAUUUCUUCGACGUAGAUAACUUUUAGCGUUCUUUAAAAUAUGGAGGUAAGUGUUUAUUUUUA